rnacentral:rRNA from 1 species
AUUGAACGCUGGCGGCAGGCUUAACACAUGCAAGUCGAACGGUAACAGGGAGAAACUUGUUUCUCUGCUGACGAGUGGCGGACGGGUGAGUAAUGCUUGGGAAUCUGCCUUAUGGAGGGGGAUAACCACUGGAAACGGUGGCUAAUACCGCGUAAUAUCUUCGGAUUAAAGUGUGGGACUUUCGAGCCACACGCCAUAAGAUGAGCCCAAGUGAGAUUAGGUUGUUGGUGAGGUAAUGGCUCACCAAGCUUACGAUCUCUAGCUGGUUUGAGAGGAUGACCAGCCACACUGGGACUGAGACACGGCCCAGACUCCUACGGGAGGCAGCAGUGGGGAAUAUUGCACAAUGGGCGCAAGCCUGAUGCAGCCAUGCCGCGUGAAUGAAGAAGGCCUUAGGGUUGUAAAGUUCUUUCAUUAGUGAGAAAGCGGUUAUAUCUAAUAGGUGUAACCAUUGAUGUUAGCUAAAGAAGAAGCACCGGCUAACUCCGUGCCAGCAGCCGCGGUAAUACGGAGGGUGCGAGCGUUAAUCGGAAUGACUGGGCGUAAAGGGCACGCAGGCGGUUAUUUAAGUCAGAUGUGAGAGCCCCGAGCUUAACUUGGGAAUUGCAUUUGAUACUGGGUAACUAGAGUCCUCUAGGGAGGGGUAGAAUUCCAUGUGUAGCGGUGAAAUGCGUAGAGAUGUGGAGGAAUACCGAAGGCGAAGGCAGCCCCUUGGAGAGAGACUGACGCUCAUGUGCGAAAGCGUGGGUAGCAAACAGG